rnacentral:rRNA from 1 species
GGCUCAGAACGAACGCUGGCGGCGUGCCUAACACAUGCAAGUCGAACGGGGCAAGGGGGGCAACUUCCUUGCUUAGUGGCGCACGGGUGAGUAACGCGUAGGUAAUCUGCCCUAAGGAGGGGGACAACCUCGGGAAACCGAGGCUAAUACCCCAUAAGACCACGGAUUGAGAUAUUCGGGGAAAAAGCGGUAACGCGCCUUUGGAUGAGCCUGCGUCCUAUCAGGUAGUUGGCGGGGUAACGGCCCACCAAGCCUACGACGGGUAGCCGGUCUGAGAGGAUGGACGGCCACACUGGAACUGAGACACGGUCCAGACUCCUACGGGAGGCAGCAGUGGGGAAUUUUGCACAAUGGGGGAAACCCUGAUGCAGCGACGCCGCGUGAAGGAUGAAGGCCUUCGGGUUGUAAACUUCUUUUGUCGGGGAAGAUGAUGACGGUACCCGGCGAAUAAGCCACGGCUAACUCUGUGCCAGCAGCCGCGGUAAGACAGAGGUGGCAAGCGUUGUUCGGAAUUACUGGGCUUAAAGGGCGCGUAGGCGGCAUGGUAAGUCUGGGGUGCAAUCCUACAGCUCAACUGUAGAACUGCCCUGGAAACUGUCGUGCUUGAGUCAGUGAGGGGAGGGCGGAAUUCCCGGUGUAGCAGUGAAAUGCGUAGAUAUCGGGAGGAAGGCCGGUGGCGAAGGCGGCCCUCUGGCGCUUGACUGACGCUGAGGCGCGAAAGCGUGGGGAGCAAACAGGAUUAGAUACCCUGGUAGUCCACGCCCUAAACGGUGGGUAUUAGGUGUAGGGCUCGCAAGGGUUCUGUGCCGUAGGGAAACCAUUAAUACCCC